CGUGCAAAGGUAGCAUAAUCAUUAGUUUUUUAAUUGAAAGCUGGAAUGAAUGGUUGGACAAGAAAAUUUCUGUCUCUAUGUAAAAUUUAGAAUUUUAUUUUUUAGUUAAAAAGCUUAAAUUUUUUUAAGGGACGAGAAGACCCUAUAGAAUUUUAUAUAUUUAUAUGUUUUUAAUGAUUGGAUUUUUUAUUUGAGGAUUAAUUAAAUAUAUUUGGUUGGGGUGAUUGAAAAAUUUAAAUAACUUUUUUUUGUUUGGUUCAUUGAUUGAUGAAUAAUUGAUCCAUAAGUUGUGAUUAUAAGACUAAAUUACCUUAGGGAUAACAGC
rnacentral:rRNA from 1 species